rnacentral:rRNA from 1 species
UGGGGAAUAUUGGACAAUGGGCGAAAGCCUGAUCCAGCCAUGCCGCGUGUGUGAAGAAGGUCUUCGGAUUGUAAAGCACUUUAAGUUGGGAGGAAGGGCAUUAACCUAAUACGUUAGUGUUUUGACGUUACCGACAGAAUAAGCACCGGCUAACUCUGUGCCAGCAGCCGCGGUAAUACAGAGGGUGCAAGCGUUAAUCGGAAUUACUGGGCGUAAAGUGCGCGUAGGUGGUUUGUUAAGUUGGAUGUGAAAUCCCCGGGCUCAACCUGGGAACUGCAUUCAAAACUGACUGACUAGAGUAUGGUAGAGGGUGGUGGAAUUUCCUGUGUAGCGGUGAAAUGCGUAGAUAUAGAAAGGAACACCAGUGGCGAAGGCGACCACCUGGACUAAUACUGACACUGAGGUGCGAAAGCGUGGGGAGCAAACA